CACAUACUCCCUCCGUUCCAAAUUACUCGUCGCAAAAAUGGAUGUAUCUAGAACUAAAAUACAUCUAGAUACAUCCAUUUCUGUGACGAGUAAUUCGGAACAGAGGGAGUAGUAG
rnacentral:pre_miRNA from 1 species